rnacentral:rRNA from 1 species
UACGUAGGGACCGAGCGUUGUCCGGAAUCAUUGGGCGUAAAGCGCGUGUAGGCGGCUUGGUAGGUUUCGUGUUAAAUCCCUCGGCUUAACCGGGGAACUGCGUCUGAUACUGGAUGGCUUGAGUUCGGGAGAGGGAUGUGGAAUUCCAGGUGUAGCGGUGAAAUGCGUAGAUAUCGAGAGGAACACCAGUGGCGAAGGCGAGUCUCUAGACAACUCCUGACACUGAGGCACGAAAGCUAGGGGAGCAAACAGG